rnacentral:misc_RNA from 1 species
GAAAUGCGAUAAGUAAUGCGAAUUGCAGAUUUCAGUGAAUCAUCGAAUCUUUGAACGCACAUUGCGCCUAUUAGUAUUCUAAUGGGCGUGCCUGUUCGAGCGUCAUUUCAACCCUCAAGCCCUAGUUGCUUGGUGUUGGGAGCUUAUCCUGCCGGAAGGCGGGACAACUCCUUAAAGUUAUUUGGCGGAGUCGCGGUGACCCCAAGCGCAGUAAUUCUUUUUUCUCGCUUUAGGUGUUAUCGCCGGCUUCUCGCCACUAAACCCCCCCCAAUUUUCUAAUGGUUGACCUCGGAUCAGGUAGGACUACCCGCUGAACUUAA